CACGCACUCAUGCAUGCACACAAUGAUUUCCUUGCAUUGUCAGAAAAAUACUCAAGAGACUUACAUAAGCGUGAAUGCAAACGAAUGCAUCUGCGCACACACAUAUACCUUUAAAUUCCAUCUCAGUACUGGCAGGGAAAGUCUCCUUGAAUGAUAAUAUUCCCAUUUGAGAGGAGACCGUCUACCGGUGGAGGAGGAGGGUGACAUAUAUGGAGUGCGUGUAGACGACAGUCUGUUAAAUAUUCAUGAUUGUGCACUUGCGGCUUGACAUGUGUACGGCAGAUGCUCGCCACGGAUCUGUCUCUCUUUAUGCGAGCCGCCCACUCUUGCAGCAAGUGUCAUCUGUAUGUGUGGCAUAUUAAAGGCCUGUGGGAACUCAUUAGGGUGACAGACGCAGGGCUUACUCUCCCUCGCUUGGAUUGCCAUGUUUGUGCCAUGACGGGUUCAGAAAGUGCAGUGAGAGGGCAGAGGUGGCGUGCGGAGCUGAUUCUUCUGAGCCGAAUCUUACUGUAUAGCUUAAAACCUUUUUGAGUUAUUUCAAGCUGUAAUUUGGAAGUGACCAAAAAUGAUGACUUUUAUCUUGCCUAUAUCUCACCAUGAUUUAAGAGAAGAGUGUCUCCCUCUGAAACCCUUUCCACUGAUGUUGCUGUUUGGCAGUGUUACUUAUAUCUCAUAUUUCAUAAUAUUUUUUUCUGUUCUAUGCAUUAUUUCGAGAAGACUCUGCCUUCCUUGCCUCCUUGGAGGAAAUGUCUCUGGAGUGCAUGUGUGUUUUUUGUGAGCGUUUGUGAGUGUGUGCUGUGUAUAAGGGACUUUCCUUUGUCUUUGGGGAGCAGGUGACUCAUAAGUUUAACAGAUGUCAUAAUCGCACACCCAAACACACCAAAGUAGAAGUGUGAGAGAGUAUCACAUGACUGAAUACAGAUUGAGCCCGUCAUGUGUGGUCAGGUCAAAUAUGUGGUUGCUAAGUAGCUAACCCAGUUGCUUGGGUGAUGUGUACACAUGAUAAUAAAGCCCCCUGAGCUAUAAUGUGCUUGUAUUGU
ensembl:lncRNA